ensembl:lncRNA
GCCAAAGCGGGAGGCCGUGGGGCGCGAGAGCCUGGCCGCGGCCAUCUUGGCUAAUUUGCUCUUUCCCUGCGGUGUGUAUCAGGGGUUGGGGUACCAUGUGUGUGACUGCGUUCAGAGGUAAAUGUGUGGCUGGGCUAUGUUUUACAGGGGGUUGUGUCUGUGGGUCAGUGUAGCCAGGGAUGACACUGAGGCAUUCAUGUGUGGUUGGUGUUGGGGGAGUCAGUGUGGUUUCGGGUCAUUCAUGGUUGAGAAUUCAACAUAUAGUGGGUCUUGCAGUGUGUGGGUCUUUGCAAGUUGUGUUAUUAGGUUGGAAGAACAAGGUGCAGGCAGAUUUGGGUGGUCAGUGUGGGUUGGGGAUCAGCUGGUCAUUUUGAGUUCCUGUGGGAGCAGUUAGGAUGUGGAGGACAUUGGGAUGGGGAUGGACAAAUGGUCUCCCGGGAAGGUUCCCAGAGGAAGGGAGCACUGUAGGCAGAGAUUCCAAGGCUGUGCCGGCAUCGGUUUGUGAUUUUGACAGUAGGUUCCACACACAGUGGGGUUUACAGGUCAGCUGGUCAGCAUGUGACUAUGAGGGCAAGAAAGGGUCCUAGGAGUUGGUAGAAAGAGUGUAUUUGGAGAGUCAGUGUCUUGUUUAGGGUGGAGAGUUCUGGGUGUGAUCUUUUCAAAUUGAGCUUAGAGCGUGCAGAAACCAGGGGAUAUAUAGAAGUCAAGUUGGCUUGAAUAUUUGGGUAAAAAUACUGUAAUAAAUUGUACCAUUGCCCUGCCCAUACCCUCUGGUAUUCACCAUUCCUUAUACACUGAUGGCUUUUGCACCUGCAGCUCUGCCUGGGCGUGUGGUCUAGCUGUGGGAGCAGGUUCCUUUCUCACCAGGCAGGUGCCCUCAGUGACAGCCCAACACUCAUGAUGGGCAGGAAUUGAGAGGGAGAUACCCCUGCUUCGGGUCCUCAGCAGGACUGAGCCCCUUUCCUAAGGAGCCUCUUGCUCAUGAAGCACCCUGUGUGGGCUUCCUCCCCUGUCCUGGCUCACAUCUCAAGUCCCCACUCUCCUAUCAUUCUUCCCAGGAUCACACGAACAACUUGCCCUCAAAUCCUUGUCCUGGGUUUGCUUCUGGGGAAUCCAACACAAAAGAAACAUUUUUUUUAUGAUAAAGCUAACAAAGGUACAUAAUGGAGCAUGGAUUGCACAUGACUUUUCAAGGUAAAACACAAGCUAGGCUAGAGUUGUGCAUGCUCCUGGCGGCUCACCAGAGUGAAAAGUGUUAUUCACUCAGUGGUGUCCAACUCUUUUUGCAAGCCCGUGAACUGUAGCCCGCCAGACUCCUCAGUCCAUGGGAUUCUCCAGGCAAGAACACUGGAUUGGGUAGCCAUUCCCUUCUCCAGGGGAUCUUCCAGACCCAGGGAUUGAACCCAGGUCUCUUGCAUUGCAGGCAGACCCUUUAUAAUCUGAGCAAACAGGGAAGUCCUCAAAAGGAGCUUUAAUUUAAUUUGGGAAUCUGGUUGUAAGUCAGAGGGCAAAGGGGGUGCAUAAUGCAGUCCCUAGAGGUCAGCUUCCUGAGCACAGACAGCACAGAGAAGGAUGGGGCAGGAAUGUGGCAGCAGGGGAGGGGGAUUGGAAAAUUUUGAGCACAGCUGUGCACUUGAGUCUGCAGGUCGGCGUGUGGCUGGGGUACAGCGAGUGUGACAGAGAGAUUUCCUCUUCCAUUUCUUCUAUUGUAGAGUCAGCUGGGGACUGAGGUGGCUCGGCUUAGAGAGCAGUUACAUUUGGGGUGGUCUGCGUCCUGAUGACUUUGUGGGAAUCGAUAUGCACUUGCUAUCGGAUGACCAGUUUGGGUCAUUAUGUGGUGAGUGGACAAUCACAGCACACUUAAGACUGAGGGGCUCAGCAAGUUUCUGAUGUCAGGACUUGAGGAUUGUCAUGAGUUUGGCCGGUGGAAGGGCUGUGAAAUUUGGGAGUACAGUGAGUCACUGGAUUUGGGAGCCAGUAUUUGAAGCAGUUAAGGUGGAGAUCUGGAUUUAACCAAGGGUCUGUGAGCAUGGCUGCCAAUCACACAGCACCUUGGUGUGGGUUCUAGAAAUGCCCUGCUCUGGGCAGAUGUCACCCUGCCCAAGGGGACAGGUGCGAUGAACAGAACGUGGGUGGACUUCAGCCCUCACUUCUGGUUGUGUGGGUACCUUCAGGCAGUGACCAGCGUGUAUGUCAGCCCUGCGGUCUCUGAGCUGGGGAUCCCCUCUGACCCAGCAUACUCCACCCCUCCCCCUGCAGUCCUGACCUUCCAGAGGCUGGGUAGGUUUCUGCAGUGUGAGCCUCUGCUCCCUGUGAGGCUUGGGAGCUGGCUUCCUGGAGUGAGGGUCAGGGUCAGAGUUCGAGUCCUGGCCACGUCGUAUAUGUGUCAGAAUGAGCAAUGCCUUUUUAGGUCACAUAUACUUUGGACUUCAACACUGCUUUAUGUAGGCCGUAAAAUUAAUAGGUGGGAAUGGGAUUUAUGGGCCCCACUGGGCUGUUCUUUGCUUGUUAGGUUAAACACACUGAUUUCCUGGUACAAAAGUGCUUGUUAAAAUAAUCUCCCCCAGCAUGUUCAGAGGGGACAUAUCUGUCUUGUUUGGGGGGUGGGGAGAAGACAAAGGCGCCCCAUCCCCGCCUCCCUGGCUGGCCCACCUGUCAUGGCCUCCCCCAGCCCCAGCUGUGUGUGUGAUGGAGUGAAUAAUGAUGUUUCUGGGUGGGGGCGGGCCAGGGAAGGAAUGUGCCUCCGUGCAGAUAACGCUAGGGCCAGACGUGCACUCCCGUCACCCCCGCCCACCCUGAAGAGCCGCUCGCCUUUGUUCUUGCCAUAUCUCGGGAAGGAAGGCUAGAAACACGGGGCAUGUGUGGGGGAGUCGUGUUGGGGCGGAUGGGAGGAUGUCCGCUUCUGAAUAUUUGCAAGUCAGAAAUGGAAGCAGAGAGGAGUGGCAGGCCCUGCUGCCUGAGUGCCUCUCUACACCUUCCAGCUCAGGUGGCAGCCUCAGAUGGCACCAUGUUCGCAGGUACAUAGGGCUUGACCCUGCCUCUCUGCCCACUGUCCCUCACCUCCCACAAUGCUCAGGGGCGGGCAUCCUCUGAAUGCCUCAGCCAUCCCAGGGAAUGGAAACUGUCUUGUCAUCUCCUGCCCUGGUGGAUACCCCUCUCCUCCUGCAGGUGUGAUGGUGGAGUGGAUUGUGCAGAGUGUGUAGAGAACUUCUGACAGGUCCAGGUUACUCACAGAUGUAAGGGGCAGAGAUGGGAGAUGGGCCUGGAUGGGGCCUGUGUGGGCCUGAGGCAAGCGAUGGCAAGACAGUGCUGUGGACGUCUGUUAGGGCACAUCUAUAAUACAGAAGAAAGGCCCAGGCUGAGCCAACACAAGACUGGUGUCUGGCCCUUAGGAGGCCUACAAAAUGCUUGUUAAAUCAUGGUCUGCCAGCCGGAGAGCUCCGAGUCCUCCACUUCCUUGUUAGAGCCUGGCUUGCUAUGAGACCCUGUGAAGAUCACAUUUCCAGCCCUGACUUCGUGGACAGAAGGGCCCCCCCGGGAUCCUCAUCCUCCUGUCAGUCAACUGCACCUGGGAAACUCAUCUCAUGGCCCUACUGUGGACACUGUGCCUUUCGUGUUUGAUAUUUGUGGUCAUUUCAGUAAAGCACACAGCCUACUCCAUGCCUGAUGCUUCUGCCACUUGGCCCUAUGAGGUGUAUAUUAUACCUAAUUAUAGACAGAUUUGGAGAAGGCAAUGGCACCCCACUCCAGUACUCUUGCCUGGAAAAUCCCAUGGGUGGAGGAGCCUGGUAGGCUGCAGUCCAUGGGGUUGCUAAGUAGGACAUGACUGAGCAACUUCACUUUCACCUUUUGCUUUCAUGCAUUGGAGAAGGAAAUGGCAAUCCGCUCCAGUAUUCUUGCCUGGAGAAUCCCAGGGACGGGGGAGCCUGGUGGGCUGCCGUCUAUGGGGUCGCACAGAGUCAGACAUGACUGAAGUAUACUUAGAAAUAGCAAUAGACAGAUUAAAAAACUGAAGGCCUGAGACAUCUGUCAGUUACCAAGGCCACCCCACAGUGAGCAGAGGAGCCAGAUGUGAGCCAGGUCUGAGGACCCAGUCAGUGCCUGGCCCCUUAGCUGCUGCCUAUCUCCAUCAUCCCAGAGAAUCAGAGUCUGAGUGGGAUGCUGUCUGGACCACUCUGGGAUCUCUAACCCCCAGCACAACACUUAAUCCAUGAUGAAAAUUCAGCAUAUGCUGUGGACUGAGGCAUGAUGUUACAUCUGUAUGGAGCUUAGGUCUGGAUCUGGAGUUGGCUGCUUGGGCGUUGCUUGGAAGGAGCCAAGCCUUCCUGGUGUCUUCUGACCACACCCUGCACUCUUCCAAAGCAGCAAGUGAGUGGAGCAAGGAGCUUGGCUUACUGAAAAUCCUUCUGGAGGAGGAUCUCAUGGGAAUUGAUCUAUAAACAUGAGGGCUGAACCACAAAGUUCUCCGUCUUUCUUAGCUCUGACGUGCUCUGCAUCUGAGACAACCAUUUUUGGCUGAAUGACUCCCAAGUGUCUGCUUGGGAGAACUUGCCUUUGUACGCAUAGUUGACACUGAGCACCACCCACGUUGACUCAAGAAAACCUUCUGGGCCUGGUGGUGGUGAGUAGGUGCUUCUUGAUGAAAGACAGUCUCUUCAUUCAAAUCCAGUGUAAGCUGGUAUGAGGCUGAAAAGUGAUGGGAGAGACAGACGUGGGCAACAAGGCACCCUGCUUCUUCCUCUCAUGACUUCCUCUGAGAUGGGUGCAGGCCCACUGUGAUGGACACCCCACACAGGGCACUUGGCCCCCAAAUUCUCUGCCUGGAAUCUCACUGUUAAUGUCCUUCUUUCGAGUUUUCCUCUACAAACUCAUCUCAAACCCAGCCUUACCCCAGGGAGGAUGGCACGUUUGAGGCCCCUCUCCAUACCAUGUGAGUUUCCCAGACCCUCGCAGGCAGCCUGAGCUCCCAAAGAAAUAGAAGGCAGUGGGGAAGGGCUCCAAGGGGGCCAGGCCAGGGAGUGUGGUUCAGACAGCCCUCGUCAUGGGGCAGAGCCUGAACACAGGCCUGGUGGAUUAGAAGGGGUGUUUGGUGAGCCCACAACCAGCCCGCAGCAGUGGGAGCUCUGCUCAGGCUUUGUAGACCAUCCAAUGGUCUCUUUCAAAACAGGGUUUUGAUGAGUUAAGUGUAAAUGAAUCAGAAACACAUGGGUUGGAUUUCCCUCCAAAUGCAAUGGGGUUUGAACACAG